rnacentral:antisense_RNA from 1 species
GGAAUAUGAAGGGAGAAUGAAACAAAACUGCUCCGCUCAGGGAACUUAGAAAUUGAAAAGUUGACAUGCAGGCUGGACAUACAGUGGGUCUCGAUUGCUUGGAAGCCAAACUGAACUCACCAAGAAAAUAAGACAGGAGAAACUUCUCAAGAAGAAUAUCUCCAAAUUGCAGGAUCGAAUACCAUAAGAGGAAUUCUGGACUGAAGAAUUAUGAAGUCAUUUCAGACACUUCCAUAUAAUUUGUGUUAAUUAAAUUCUCACCGGUUGAGUUCCAUUCUACACUGGAAGAGCAUUUUUCCUGGAAAGGCUCCUCAAAAUGGACACCAUCAAGAGUCACCUCCUCAGUGAAGCCUUCCAUGGUUUCAUACCACCCAUCCCUAUCUGAAUGAAUGUAUCUUUGCUCUCCGUUAUCCCAGUAUUUUGCCUGGGCUUCUGUCACACUACUUUCAAUGUCUAUACCUCAGUUAUCGAAUCGAAAAACAAGAGUCAUCAGUCUCUAAGGUCCUUGCAAGCUUCAAAACUUUAUAUUUUUGUUAAUUACAACUGAAUAAAGCUGAAAAACUUAUUAUUUAUGGAUACUUACAAAGCACCAUAUAACUCUUUCAGAUAUUUUAAAAGAAUAAUGUUUGCAAAAGACUCCAAAUCAAUGUAUUAAAUUGAAAUCCAGUAUCAAAACAGCCGUUAAAGUGCUCUUUUGAAAUUGUACAUUUUAUAUCAAUAAAAUUUCAAAAUAUAAAAA